AAAAGACUUAGUCCUAACCUUACUAUUGGUUUUUGCUAGACAUAUACAUGCAAGUAUCCGCACCCCAGUGAAAAUGCCCCCAAACCUUCAUUCACCCAUCAAGCAAAAGGAGCAGGUAUCAGGCACACUCAACACCUAGCCCAAGACGCCUUGCUAAGCCACACCCCCACGGGUAUUCAGCAGUAAUUAACCUUAAGCAAUAAGUGUAAACUUGACUUAGCCAUAGCAACCCUCAGGGUUGGUAAAUCUUGUGCCAGCCACCGCGGUCAUACAAGAAACCCAAAUCAAUAGCCCAAUCGGCGUAAAGAGUGGCCAUAUGUUAUCUACAUUGACUAAGAUCAAAAUGAAACCAAGCUGUCAUAAGCCCAAGAUUCACCUAAGCCCGACCCAAAAUUAUCUUACCCACAUGAUUGAUUUUAACCCACGAAAGCCAGGGCACAAACUGGGAUUAGAUACCCCACUAUGCCCGGCCCUAAAUCUAGAUACCACCAUACUUAUGUAUCCGCCCGAGAACUACGAGCACAAACGCUUAAAACUCUAAGGACUUGGCGGUGCCCCAAACCCACCUAGAGGAGCCUGUUCUAUAACCGAUAAUCCACGAUUCACCCAACCAUUCCUUGCCAAUGCAGCCUACAUACCGCCGUCGCCAGCCCACCUCCAAUGAAAGAACAACAGUGAGCUCAACAGUUUCUCCCCGCUAACAAGACAGGUCAAGGUAUAGCCAAUGGAAUGGAAGAAAUGGGCUACAUUUUCUAACAUAGAAUAAACGAAAAAGGACAUGAAACCGGUCCUUAGAAGGAGGAUUUAGCAGUAAAGUAGGACCAUAUAACCCCAAGCCUACUUUAAGACGGCCCUGAGGCACGUACAUACCGCCCGUCACCCUCUUCAAAGGCUGCCAAUACUAAUAAAUAAUACCACACCCAUAGGCCAAAGAUGAGGUAAGUCGUAACAAGGUAAGUGUACCGGAAGGUGCACUUAGACUAC
rnacentral:ncRNA from 1 species